GAUGAAGAACGCAGCGAAAUGCGAUAAGUAAUGUGAAUUGCAGAAUUCAGUGAAUCAUCGAAUCUUUGAACGCACAUUGCGCCCGCUAGUAUUCUGGCGGGCAUGCCUGUCCGAGCGUCAUUUCAACCCUCAAGCCCCCGGGCUUGGUGUUGGGGAUCGGCGAGCCUCCGCGCCCGCCGUCCCCUAAAUCUAGUGGCGGUCUCGCUGUAGCUUCCUCUGCGUAGUAGCACACCUCGCACUGGGAAACAGCGCGGCCACGCCGUUAAACCCCCAACUUCUGAACGUUUGACCUCGGAUCAGGUAGGAAUACCCGCUGAACUUAAGCAUAUCAAAGCGGAGGA
rnacentral:misc_RNA from 1 species